rnacentral:rRNA from 1 species
UCUCCAGACUCCUACGGGAGGCAGCAGUGAGGAAUAUUGGUCAAUGGGCGAGAGCCUGAACCAGCCAAGUCGCGUGAGGGAAGACGGUCCUAUGGAUUGUAAACCUCUUUUGCCGGGGAGCAAAAAGCGGUACGUGUACCGCAUCGAGAGUACCCGGAGAAAAAGCAUCGGCUAACUCCGUGCCAGCAGCCGCGGUAAUACGGAGGAUGCGAGCGUUAUCCGGAUUUAUUGGGUUUAAAGGGGGCGCAGGGGGGAGAGUAAAGCAGCAGUUAAAAUUUCGGGCCCAAACCCCGACAAGCCGUUGAAACUGGCUUGCUAGAGUGGGCGAGAAGUAUGCGGAAUGCGUGGUGUAGCGGUGAAAUGCAUAGAUAUCACGCAGAACUCCGAUUGCGAAGGCAGCAUACCGGCGCCCAACUGACGCUCAGGCACGAAAGCGUGGGUAUCGAACAGGAUUAGAUACCCUGGUAU